rnacentral:lncRNA from 1 species
CCUUUCUUCAUAGUGUUGUUUGGGAAGUUUAACAUGCAGCACGCGGCCGCAAACUCCUGCAUUCAAGCAGAAGGGACCCCACGUCGAUGGUUGUAUGCAGCCCUCCUCCUUGCAGCGCAUGCACUCGGUAUCGACUUGUUUUAAACAGUCAAAACGAAACCACGUACAGCUGCAAAUGUCCAUAGCAACGUCCUGUCGAUAGUCAGGUCCUCGGCUGGUGCCUUCUACCCACCAGAACUACACAGACCCGGCUGCGAAUUCAUGCCUUCGGUGAAAACUCCCUGACACGAGGCAGCAUUCUUUUCUGAGUCGAUAGUAGGGGUGGGAUAAUUUGCGUCAAAAAGCAAUGCCGCUUUCACAGCUGGUCGACCUUGUCGAUAGCAGCUUACUAAGCAAUCUCUCCAAGUUGACACCGGUGGAAAUUACCAACGCAGAAGAAACGUAGGCCGAUGACAAAGAUCUGCACGCCCCACGUCCAGUCCGACAGAAUACUGGAGGGCAUCUCCGAGCUGAAUUCGGUGAAAACCAGAAUCAGUUCUCCGGAGGCUGAGAAAACAGAACGUCGGGAGAGUGCAUGCGUUCGAGUUUUCGCUGAUACCAGGAAAUCAGGCACAACAACAACUUCGGUGCUUCCGGCUGUUCCUCGAAGAAGUCAUGCCUACUUGAGUCUGGUAGGGGUUUUCUCGAGCGCAUCCGCGGUUUAGAUGCGCAUCAUUAGUAACCAAGUGACACAAAACUCAGUAUUAGUCAUAUCUCUCGUUAUAUGCCUUUGACUCCUGAGCAAACGCGU